CUCAUGACCUGACGAACAUGGUAACGGAUGCCCCACGCACAGAGCGUGGGGCAUCCGUUACCAUGUUCGUCAGGUCAUGAGUGCC
rnacentral:pre_miRNA from 12 species